rnacentral:rRNA from 1 species
UGCAAGUCGAACGCUUUUUCUUUCACCGGAGCUUGCUCCACCGAAAGAAAAAGAGUGGCGAACGGGUGAGUAACACGUGGGUAACCUGCCCAUCAGAAGGGGAUAACACUUGGAAACAGGUGCUAAUACCGUAUAACACUAUUUUCCGCAUGGAAGAAAGUUGAAAGGCGCUUUUGCGUCACUGAUGGAUGGACCCGCGGUGCAUUAGCUAGUUGGUGAGGUAACGGCUCACCAAGGCAACGAUGCAUAGCCGACCUGAGAGGGUGAUCGGCCACACUGGGACUGAGACACGGCCCAGACUCCUACGGGAGGCAGCAGUAGGGAAUCUUCGGCAAUGGACGAAAGUCUGACCGAGCAACGCCGCGUGAGUGAAGAAGGUUUUCGGAUCGUAAAACUCUGUUGUUAGAGAAGAACAAGGAUGAGAGUAAAAUGUUCAUCCCUUGACGGUAUCUAACCAGAAAGCCACGGCUAACUACGUGCCAGCAGCCGCGGUAAUACGUAGGUGGCAAGCGUUGUCCGGAUUUAUUGGGCGUAAAGCGAGCGCAGGCGGUUUCUUAAGUCUGAUGUGAAAGCCCCCGGCUCAACCGGGGAGGGUCAUUGGAAACUGGGAGACUUGAGUGCAGAAGAGGAGAGUGGAAUUCCAUGUGUAGCGGUGAAAUGCGUAGAUAUAUGGAGGAACACCAGUGGCGAAGGCGGCUCUCUGGUCUGUAACUGACGCUGAGGCUCGAAAGCGUGGGGAGCGAACAGGAUUAGAUACCCUGGUAGUCCACGCCGUAAACGAUGAGUGCUAAGUGUUGGAGGGUUUCCGCCCUUCAGUGCUGCAGCAAACGCAUUAAGCACUCCGCCUGGGGAGUACGACCGCAAGGUUGAAACUCAAAGGAAUUGACGGGGGCCCGCACAAGCGGUGGAGCAUGUGGUUUAAUUCGAAGCAACGCGAAGAACCUUACCAGGUCUUGACAUCCUUUGACCACUCUAGAGAUAGAGCUUCCCCUUCGGGGGCAAAGUGACAGGUGGUGCAUGGUUGUCGUCAGCUCGUGUCGUGAGAUGUUGGGUUAAGUCCCGCAACGAGCGCAACCCUUAUUGUUAGUUGCCAUCAUUUAAGUUGGGCAC